rnacentral:rRNA from 2 species
GUGAGAAUCCCGUCCACCGAAUGCCUAAGGUUUCCUGAGGAAGGCUCGUCCGCUCAGGGUCAGUCGGGACCUAAGUCGAGGCCGAUAGGCGUAGACGAUGGACAACAGGUUGAUAUUCCUGUACCACCUCCCCGCCGUUUGAGCAAUGGGGGGACGCAGAAGGAUAAGGCGAGCGCGCCGUUGGUUGAGCGCGUCCAAGCAGCAAGGUGGGAAACGAGGCAAAUCCCGUUUCCACUAACAUUGAACUGUGACGGCAAGGGGCAUUGUGCCCUGGAGUCCCUGAUUUCACACUGCCAAGAAAAGCCUCUAGCGAGGCGGGAGGUGCCCGUACCGCAAACCGACACAGGUAGGCGAGAAGAGAAUUCUAAGGUGAGCGAGUGAACUCUCGUUAAGGAACUCGGCAAAAUGACCCCGUAACUUCGGGAGAAGGGGUGCUCUGGUAGGGUGUUACAGCCCGAGAGAGCCGCAGUGAAUAGGCCCAGGCGACUGUUUAGCAAAAAC